rnacentral:rRNA from 1 species
UCAGGAUGAACGCUGGCGGCGUGCCUAAUACAUGCAAGUCGAGCGAGAAAUCUCUCAGACGAUUCUUCGGAUGAGUCAGAAAGAUGGAAAGCGGCGGACGGGUGAGUAACGCGUAGGCAACCUGCCCUCAGCAGAGGGAUAGCCAUUGGAAACGAUGAUUAAAACCUCAUAAUGCUGAAUCAACACAUGUUGGAUCAGCCAAAGAUUUAUCGGCUGGGGAUGGGCCUGCGUCUGAUUAACUGGUUGGUGAGGUAACGGCUCACCAAGGUAACGAUCAGUAGCCGACCUGAGAGGGUGAUCGGCCACAUUGGAACUGAGACACGGUCCAAACUUCUACGGAAGGCAGCAGUAAGGAAUCUUGCACAAUGGGGGAAACCCUGAUGCAGCAACGCCGCGUGAACGAUGAAGGCCUUAGGGUUGUAAAGUUCUGAUCUGUGGGAAGAAGAAAGUGACGGUACCACAGGAGAAAGCCCCGGCUAAAUACGUGCCAGCCGCCGC